rnacentral:rRNA from 1 species
AGGACGAACGCUGGCGGCGUGCUUAACACAUGCAAGUCGAGCGGAAAGGCCCUUCGGGGUACUCGAGCGGCGAACGGGUGAGUAACACGUGGGCAACCUGCCCCUAGCUCUGGGAUAACUCCGGGAAACCGGUGCUAAUACCGGAUAUGACCUCAUUUGGCAUCCUUUGAGGUGGAAAGAUUUAUUGGCUAGGGAUGGGCCCGCGGCCUAUCAGCUUGUUGGUGGGGUAAUGGCCUACCAAGGCGACGACGGGUAGCCGGCCUGAGAGGGCGACCGGCCACACUGGGACUGAGACACGGCCCAGACUCCUACGGGAGGCAGCAGUGGGGAAUAUUGCGCAAUGGGCGAAAGCCUGACGCAGCGACGCCGCGUGAGGGAUGACGGCCUUCGGGUUGUAAACCUCUUUCAGCAGGGACGAAGCGAAAGUGACGGUACCUGCAGAGAAGCGCCGGCCAACUACGCGCCAGCAGCCGC